rnacentral:tRNA from 1 species
GAGAUGUAAAGUUUAAGAAAAGGCUUCUAACCUUAAUCUUAGGUGGUUAGAUUCCAUCUACAUCUCU